UACGGGGGGGGGCAAGCGUUGUUCGGAAUUACUGGGCGUAAAGGGCUCGUAGGUGGCCAACUAAGUCAGACGUGAAAUCCCUCGGCUUAACCGGGGAACUGCGUCUGAUACUGGAUGGCUUGAGUUCGGGAGAGGGAUGCGGAAUUCCAGGUGUAGCGGUGAAAUGCGUAGAUAUCUGGAGGAACACCGGUGGCGAAGGCGGCAUCCUGGACCGGCAUGACACGCG
rnacentral:rRNA from 1 species